GAUGUGGUGUAGUGGUAGUGCGACUGCGUGCAACGCAGAAGACUCUAGGUUCGAUUCCCGGCAGGUCA